AGUGAACGCUGGCGGUAGGCCUAACACAUGCAAGUCGAACGGCAGCACAGUAAGGGCUUGCUCUUACGGGUGGCGAGUGGCGGACGGGUGAGGAAUACAUCGGAAUCUACUUUUUCGUGGGGGAUAACGUAGGGAAACUUACGCUAAUACCGCAUACGACCUACGGGUGAAAGCAGGGGAUCUUCGGACCUUGCGCGAUUGAAUGAGCCGAUGUCGGAUUAGCUAGUUGGCGGGGUAAAGGCCCACCAAGGCGACGAUCCGUAGCUGGUCUGAGAGGAUGAUCAGCCACACUGGAACUGAGACACGGUCCAGACUCCUACGGGAGGCAGCAGUGGGGAAUAUUGGACAAUGGGCGCAAGCCUGAUCCAGCCAUACCGCGUGAGUGAAGAAGGCCUUCGGGUUGUAAAGCCCUUUUGUUGGGAAAGAAAAGCAGCAGGUUAAUACCCCGCUGUUCUGACGGUACCCAAAGAAUAAGCACCGGCUAACUUCGUG
rnacentral:rRNA from 1 species